AUGAGGAAAACUGCAGAAAAUCAUUGAGCUUCCUCAUCAGUUCUCUACCCGGAUAACUAAAGCCAACGUGAACUUUUGCGGACCUUGUGUCCGCU
rnacentral:sRNA from 2 species